UACAGAGGGUGCGAGCGUUAAUCGGAAUUACUGGGCGUAAAGCGCACGUAGGCGGCUUGGUAUGUCGGGUGUGAAAUCCCCGGGCUCAACCUGGGAACUGCAUCCGAAACUGCCUUGCUCGAGUAUGGGAGAGGGAAGUGGAAUUUCCGGUGUAGCGGUGAAAUGCGUAGAUAUCAAGAGGAACACCUGAGGUGAAGACGGGUUGCUGGGCUGAUACUGACGCUGAGGCGCGAAAGCUAGGGUAGCAAACGGG
rnacentral:rRNA from 1 species